rnacentral:rRNA from 1 species
GUGAGGAAUAUUCCGCAAUGGGGGAAACCCUGACGGAGCAAUGCCGCGUGCAGGAUGAAGGCCCUCGGGUCGUAAACUGCUUUUAUAUGAGAAGAAUAUGACGGUAACAUAUGAAUAAGGGACGGCUAACUACGUGCCAGCAGCCGCGGUCAUACGUAGGUCCCAAGCGUUAUCCGGAGUGACUGGGCGUAAAGAGUUGCGUAGGCGGCUCGUUAAGCGUGAAAUGAAAUUUAUCGGCUCAACCGGUAAACUAUUUCGCGAACUGACGGGCCCGAGAGUAUGAGAGGUUACUGGAAUUUCUAGUGUAGCAGUGAAAGGCGUAGAUAUUAGAAAGAACACCAACGGCGUAGGCAGGUAACUGGCAUACAUCUGACGCUGAGGCACGAAAGCGUGGGGAGCGAACCGGAUUAGAAACCCGAGUAGUCC